UUAUUACAAGCAGCGAGAGGAAUUAACUAUGCUUGUCACCACACACACGCGCGCACAGAUGCACGACAUACAUAUAGUUGAGACCAACGAUGGAUCAACUAGAGGUCGCCCCAUAUGGUGAACAAUUUAUUGGAGAUAGACAUUAACAUAACUUGGCCAUAGCUUGAAGCAUAGCAACAUAUGCCUAUGAAUGGCAUUCAUGCUAUCGUUUUAGGCUUGUCCUUCUUCCAUCUUAGCAAGCACUCCCAUUUCUUCCAUCUUAGCAGCAACUGUCAAAUUGAGAUAUGGAAAUCCCAUUAGCGCAUGAGUUAAUUUUGCAGUGGAAAUAGAGUACAAGAUGUCUUCAUGAUGUAAGUAAUAUGCCUGAAGUUGUGAGAUGGGACGUGAAGUCAACAAAUUACAUUAAGGGCCCGUUUGUUUCCCUAGAAUUGAAACUCAUUUCAUGAAUCAUAUUCUAGCAAUUAGAUUCCAUAGGAAAUGGAUUUCGUAGAAUUUGAUUCAAUUGAAUUUUCUUGUUUGGAUGUACCGAGAAAGUUUUUCUUAGAAUUAAAUUCCAAAUGCUGUUUGGAUGUAUUAUUAGUAACAUAUGAAGUAGAUUUAACACUAAUUCAUACAUGGAUAUAAUAAAUCUUCUUGUGUCACAAUGCACGCACAUUCAUACUCUAACCAGGUAUCUAAACCUAUUCAUACAAUGCAACAAUUACCUGGGUGAAAAUAUUUCGCCCAUUGAUUUUAUUUCUCGAAUACGAGGACAGCCUGCACGCUAGUCACUAUGGGAAAUUCCAUUAAACACACGAUCAUUGCGGUGUCACCACAACAUCCAAGCACCUAAAAUGAGCGGCGCAUUCAGUCCUGGCUUGUUUCUAGGAUGAGCAUGGAUCUGCACCCACCAAUCACAGAAUACCUUGUCAGCAGGGUGUGGUGAGAGAUCAGGGAGUCCAUAUUGCCGGAACAGGAGAUAUCACACCUGCUUGGAAAAUAAACAACCGAGAUAGGAUGUGCUUGUAGUGUCAUUCUCUUAGUCAGGCAUCUAAAGCACAUAUGCAAAUUUAAAGAAAUGUUUUAGCAUCAAGAAAUGAGGAGGGUAAUUCAGAAUACAAGUGAAAUUAUAUAUUCUAAUGGUAAGUACAUAUUAUAAAUACAAAAAUCAUGCAUUGCAGUACUAGAUUGAGACUAGGAAUUAACUAUGUGUUGCUGGAUAGCAAUGGAUAAUUGACUGCCCUUUAACAUGUUGUGUUGCUUGCCUUGCCCAAUUGCUUAGGAAGUGAUGUUUUCAUACCUGUGUACUACAGAUAUCUGUGUCUAGAUCAAGAAAUUUAUUCAUGCCAAACCAAAAUUAAUUAUUUGGUAAAUAAUGAGUUUGUUGACCUAGCUAAACUGAACAAAAGGGGAAUUGGCCCUUUCAGUGGACAGUUAGGCCACUAUCGAGAAAACUGAGUACAAUCAAUCCAAAAUAAAAAUUACUAUCAUUAUACUAGAUAGAUGGCAGCACUACUGCAACCAUCUGAAGCAAGGUUAUACCUUCACAUUAGGCCACCAGCUGGCACUGGUCCGGUUACAAAAUGCAUACCAUCUUAUUAAACUACGAAAUCAUUUGCUUCCAUACUAUUCACUAUGUAAAGUAAGCCUGUACCGUAUAAGUCUACUUUAGGUGACAAAACUGUGAAUCGUUAGUUAGCAAGGAGCCAAAGAUAUACCUGUAGAUGCAGGUAAGAUGAUAUCUUUGAUUACAACAAAUGUCAAACCUUAUGGAGCUAAUCAUGCAUCUGUCAGUUGAACUUGUGGCCGCUGAUCCUUCACCCACUUGACAGACUGAGAAGGUAACCUUCCUCUAGUCUCCAUCUAAAAGGUUGCAACAUUAGCUGCUGAUCUAAGAAGCAUUCCAAAGAAGUAUUCAUCAAUCAAUCACAACAGUGCAUGCUGACAAUGUCAAAGCUAAUGAAAAAAAAUUGCAAGACAAAAGAGCACGGUGGACUUGGCCUCAAGGACCUGGCCGUUCAGAACAAAAGCCUUUUGCUCAAACUUCUUCACCAGCUGUACACCCCCGGGGACUCGUCCUGGGCGUGAUGGGCGCACGACCUUGUCAGCUUGAUAGAUCUUCAUGGCGAGAUCGAAGGAACGCACUGGGAGGACCUUAAGAGCCUGAUGCCAGUUUACCACACCCUCACCUGUUCAGCAGUCGCCAAUGGGUCCACGACCAAUUUCUGGCAUGACAGGUGGAUAUCAGAAGCCUAGGGACAUGGCUGAUGAUGUGCAAUAUACAGACAGAAAAUAACCUGAAGAAAAGGACAAUACAAAUACAAACGCUCAUUCUAUCUUAACAGGGACAUGAGCCAAAAUUGAAUGGAGCCAUGCAUUCAGAAAUAAAGUUCAAACAAUUACAUAUUACUACAACGGGCAGAAUGAAAAUGGAAUGUGUUUGAAUGACAUGUGCAGAGGAUAUGUACUCAAGAAUCCAUGACUCAUUUGUAUAGCUAGGAAGAAAUUGGGAGGACAGAGGGGUGAAAAGGAUGCAUACUCAUGUGCAGGCUCCUGGCUUCGGCCACGGCCACCGCCAGCGCUGCGGCACCUACCGUCGUAACCUCCCUGUCGUCACCACGUCGGGUCCCUUUGGCGGACGGAGCAGGAGGAAGUGGGUGCAGGAGGACGCGAGGCUCGCUAAGGCAGGCGUGGAGGUCCCAGAUCUGCUCGAGGACUACCUCCAUGGAGGCCACACCCGGCCCUUGAGCUCCUCGGCUCGGCACUAGGAAACCCUAUCCGCCAUGGCGUAGGGAGGAUUCCACAGUAGGAAGAGGAAGAGGGGGCAGCGAAGGAGGAGGGGGUCAUGGCGCGGGAGGCGGCAGCGCAGCGCUCGGGGACUCGGGGGCGGCGGCACAAGGGAGAGGAGUCGGGGGAGGCGAGUCGGGGGGAGGCCGUCGGGGGCAGGGAAAUCGUUUCCGGUUUUUUUUGGCCAGAACGUGCGAUAGGCCCCGUUUGUAUCCGCUUAUAAGCGGCUUAUCGGUGGAAAUAAGCGAGAAUCCCGCCAAACGCUUUGCUUAUUUCCACCGAUUCUCGCUUAUGUGGUAAGCCGCUUCAACGAUUUGAACUACGAGAAGCGAAAAGCGAGAAGCAAGAAAAUCUUUGCUUAAAUUAUAAUCCAAGCGUGGCUAAAAAAAGCGUAUACAAACAGGGCCAUAGGCUAAUCUGGAAUCAUGAGGAAUCACCAUUUCCAAUUCUGGGAAGCCAAACAUGUUGAUCUUGGAAACUAAUUCUAAUUCCACCUGAUUCCAACCAAAUAUACAGACCCUAACGGAAAUGCAUGGAAGGCCACACAAACGUAUUAGUCCACGACAUGCUACAAUGCUUGUAUGUACAUAUAACAAAUUGUUAUAUUAAAUGCAUUGAAUACAGUGAGUUUAGUGAGUUUACCAGAAUCGGUCGGAAUACAUGGGAAACAACAAGUGUUCUCGCAGACUGUGUCGGAGGCACCCGCAGCAAUACAAGCAAAACAACAUGCUUUUGCCCGGGCGGAUACGCAGCAGCCGCACUGUGCCGCGGUCGCCGAGUUAACAUUGAGGCUCAAGAUGACCAGGCACAUGAUCACCAUCAAAGCGGUAGUCCUCUUUCCCUCCAUUGCCUCCUCACAAUCUUAAAGCGGCAGUGAGUCACGUUGGUGUAACAAGCAGUACAUCUGCUGGAAGAUUGAUAUGUCUAUAGAUCUUAUUAUCUUUCCACAUACUGCACAAUGUCAAAGUAAAAUGAGAAAGGAUAACAAGCGGAUACAGAGUGAUUGGAUUUACUUGAGAAGCUUGAAGAAACAUCCAGCAACAACAGAAAAGUCAAAGUAUCAAGCGCAUGGAGCUAUAAAGCAGAUUGUAUCGGCUAGAAGAUUCAGGACGUUGAACUUACAAAAGUUCGAAGCAUGGCCAUUGCGAUAACUUUGCACGGGCAUCACGGAGAUGCCAACAUACAGGAAAGCAAAACAAUCAACAAGGGCCUCUGCUGAUCGGUCAGGUCUCAGAGUUUGAGAAACUGGAUCUGACGGAUGUGAAAUUAAUCCAUGUGGCUUCAUGCAAAUUUGUUCACAGGUUUGAACAGCAUGUAAUCUUUUUCAGGCAUAUAUAAUGGAGCGUGGGUGUGUUAUGUUAUCUUCUACUACAAAUAUAACAUCAAAUUCAUUCGAUCAGUUUGGCCGAGAGCCCAAAAUACAACGGAUAUGCCAUCCAACGGGGGAGAAAAAAAGAUGAGGAACAGUAUACUCUAUCUUCGAAAUGAGUUAUAAAGAUUCAGCUUAAAAAGAGAUAACGAGGCGUCCAAGACUCGAGGAGCCAGUCAAGAGCAGACAAGAGGCACAUGAGUGAAUGCAUCCACACCUUGGGAUGCUGCAAACUUUUAUGGGGCUAUAUAUAGCCAAGUAAACUAUUUUAUCCUGCUGCAAGCUGCAUACAUAAGUUUAUUUAACCUUUGUUCACAAUACUCUUCAUACACCAUUCACACACGUCUCAGGGAGCUGCAGCAAUGGCGGAGAUCUUAGCUGGAGUGCUCACUUCCGCUGUCGUCGCUAUUGCCAAAGACACAAGCUAGCUCACCUCUGCUAUUGCGGAGCAGGCCAAUUUGCUGUGGAACUUCGGCGACGACCUGAAGGACAUGAACUCGGUGCUGGAGUCCAUCUCAGCAGCGCUCCAGGACGCUGACACCGGUAGAAAAAUAACCUUCCAUCUUCAACAAAAAUCCCAGUAGCUUUUUUACCUGGAACUAAAGAGGUUUUAGUCCCGUACAUAUACCUUUAGUCCGGGUUGCUGUUACCAACCAGGAGUAAAGGGUCCGACGGCACCAACCGGGACUAAAGCGUCCCCCACGAGUUACUAUAUAAAAGGAUUGCAUCCUCUACUCAGUCAGAUGUACUGUGUAGGUGAGAUGGUAAGGAAGCUAUGCGCGAGGCUUGAGGUUGUGGGUUCGAAUCCCACACACCGCGCACGCACGCGCAUAUUUUGCGUGAAAAAUCGCGUGACUUGUGAUCGGCCAAGGAGAAGUGGGUGCUGUUGUGGCUUAAUCGCGUGACUUGUGAUUGGCCAAGGAGAAGUGGGUGCUGCUGUGGCUUAAGCGGCUGAGGCAUGCCACCAUAGACAUCUCGGAUUUGCUCGAAGACUACCAAGACACUAGCGAACCCUUAACGGCAAAGUUGAGUACUUAUGCAUGUCCGCAUCUAUGUUGUCCAUGCUUCUGAUGUAAUAACAAAAAGGACUACUCUUCCUAGCGGAUUCUUCAUAACCACUCGUAAAGCUAUGCGUUUCUCAAUGCAAUUUCGUAGAAGGCAAUCGAUCCAACCAAGCGACUAAAUUAUUCGUCCUUGCUAAUGAUGUGCAUCAGGUUUUCUAUAUGAAGGACAUGUCUAGCAAAUCCAAGAUUUUAGAAGAAAAAGAAAAAUCAUAAGAGUCAAAGCGCCACAUAGUUCUUUCAGGUAAAAAAACAAUCAUCCAUUGGGAUAACACACAGUAGCGAUCCAAAACGUCCAUAUUAAGACUUUUUGAUAGCAGAAAAAACAUAAAAUGUCUAAUAUUUGUAGUAUUAAAAGGAAAAAUAAUAUAUUCACUUGACCUUUUUUCCAUAGCAACGCACCGGUGCAUAGUCAGACUUAAUGCACGAUGCCUGUGCAUCCACUGAGCCUGCCCUCGUGGAUCACGCGCACCAGGACACAGCUCAUUAGCUAGUCGUGCUAAUCCUUACCACCAAAUAAAAAACUAGCAUGUGUUGUGUGUUUGUGACCCUAAACAAUCACAAAUGAAUAACGUUUGGGCUUUGCUAGCGCCUGGACGCCCGGUUCAGGAUGCUAGCAUCGGACGCACGAGCAGUCGUCCGAUCAGGUCCGACACCACUUCAGGAUCUGGCUUAAAAAGAAGUCCCACCGAAAUAUUGUUCCAUGUUGCAUGAAACAUCCCACUAUCCAUCGCUAGGUCUAGAGCAAGCACCACCUUCAAAUCUGCUGCUCACCCAAGCUAAAUAGGGGCAUUAAAAUUGCAGAAAUAUGUCGCAUAUCCUUCUCAAAUUAAACUAAAUGGCAACAUCCAAAAAUUUCUUGUACAAAACCAUGAAACAUAUCGAUUAGAUAGGUGUAACAAGAUGGAAUAUGGUAUGCAACAUAUAGAUUCCGAAAAACAGAUGAAACAUUAUGUAAUGAUUGUUGAAACAGUCGAGAAAAAUUAAGAAAAGAAGCUUUAUGCAAAUUGCAAAAAGCUGAAAUAAGUGGUUGAACAUUUCAAAUCACCAAAUGCCACAUUUGAAAUGACUAGAUGAAACAUCACGAAAUCAAUUGUAACAGUUGAAGAUGAAAACAUUCAAAUGCCUUGCCUUUCUCCAGAUUUGACCCUCCAAGCAUGAGUCCGGCCAUUUGCACAUUAGACCCUUGGGAGGAGCUCACCGGAGAAUAACAAGACCGUGUUCUCCAACAAUUUUCCAAUCAAAUUGCAACAUAAAAAACAAAGCAUUGCAACAUCUGGCGAGCUACAACAUCAACCAGUUAGUAUCAGGAGAAUGAGGGCAAACACAAGGUUAAUAAUGAGUUAUAUCCUGUUUAAACGAGGAUAAAAAUGAGUGUAUUUUCCACUCAUCAUGUUGUCUUUUCGCAGCUGUACUGCUUUUAGUGUGUUGUAUUGUUCCCCUAACACCAAGUCUCCAAGGCCCGAGAAAAUAAGGAAGGUGAUAGCAUCCCAGAAAUCGACCAAGUUUCUUUCGCCCUUUGGCUUUCCUACUAGGAUUCGGAAUCCUCUUUCGCAUGACAAUUUUAAUUAUCUCCCAUAGUCCAAAACUCACAAAAAUAUCAAAAAUCCGCCGAGAAUAAAUUAAGUAAAAAACAUGCACACACAGAUAAUAAUAAUAAUAAUCAUGUUUCAAUAAAAUUGCUAAGGCUAGAGACAAUACAUAAACAUAUUAGACUGUUCAUGACACAUAUCACGAUGGACUGUCUGUGUCCUUAUUACAAGCAGCGAGAGGAAUUAACUAUGCUUGUCACCACACACACGUGUGCACAGAUGCACGACAUACAUAUAGUUGAGACCAACGAUGGAUCAACUAGAGGUCGCCCCAUAUGGCGAACAAUUUAUUGGAGAUAAACAUUAAUAUAACUUGGCCAUAGCUUGAAGCAUAGCAACAUAUGCCUAUGAAUGGCAUUCAUGCUAUCGUUUUAGUGUUGUCCUCCUUCCGUCGUAGCAGCAACUGUCAAAUUGAGAUAUGGAAAUCCCAUUAGCGCAUGAGUUAAUUUUGCAGUGGAAAUAGAGUACAAGAUGUCUUCAUGAUGUAAGUAAUAUGCCUGAAGUUGUGAGAUGGGAAGUGAGGUCAACAAAUUACUUUAACAGAAAUGCAUGGAAGGCCACACAUACGUAUUGGUCCACGAUAUGCUACAAAGCUUGUAUGUACAUAUAACAAAUUAAAUGCAUUGAAUAGAGUGAGUUUAGUGAAUUUACCAGGAUCGGACGGAAGACAAUCCGGGAGACAGGCGCUCUCGCAGAAUAUGUCGGGGGCACCCGUAGAAGUACAAGUAGAACAAAGUUGUUUUGCCUGAUCGGAUUUGCAGCAGUCGCACUGUGCCGCGGUGGCCGGGUUAAC
rnacentral:lncRNA from 1 species